rnacentral:tRNA from 1 species
UCUAGCAAUACUAGCUUUGGGAGCUAGUGGUGGGGGUUGGAAUCCCCUUUCUUUGAGC